rnacentral:rRNA from 1 species
UACGGGGGGAGCAAGCGUUGUUCGGAUUUACUGGGCGUAAAGGGCGCGUAGGCGGCCACCGCAAGUCGACUGUGAAAUCUCCGGGCUUAACCCGGAAAGGUCAGCCGAUACUGCGGGGCUAGAGUGCAGAAGGGGCAACUGGAAUUCUCGGUGUAGCGGUGAAAUGCGUAGAUAUCGAGAGGAACACCUGCGGCGAAGGCGGGUUGCUGGGCUGACACUGACGCUGAUGCGCGAAAGCUAGGGGAGCGAACAGG